UGCAUCCAGGGAGGGUACAUCACCUGCAAGAACUACCCCGGCCAGAAGCUCAACGGGUGCGCCUGCAUGUGCGCGCCCGAGGACGGCAAGGGCUGCGUGCUCCACCUCGAUAGUGGCUCCACCAACAAAUGCACCAAGUACUGA
rnacentral:rRNA from 1 species